UGAUGGAAUUCCUUUUUUAUACAAGUUGUAUACUGAAGGAAGGUAUGAUGAGGGACUACAUUAAAGUUGGCUGAGUUCUAUGGAACAGUAAAAUAUUGUGACUGUCAUACAUGUACAUUAAUUAUAUAACUGAUCUUAGUGUGUCAUUGAUUUGAUAGACUCAAACAUUACUGUACAUUAUCACAAAUUAACUGUCUGAGUGAUUGUGUUUCUUUUAUCAAUACAAUAUGAAAUGUCAAAUAAAUAAUACAUAGUCAAUUAGUGGCUACUUCCUAAACCCCAUAAAAGAUCUUUAACCCGCCAUUUCUGGUUCUCAAGGCCAGACUGUCUGUCCCUUGCCCAGUAAGUAUAUUUUCAAAUAGAAGGGAAACCCCAUACUCUGUUAAUUUCGACUCUUAAGUCAAUGGAUGUGUUGAGCUUUGAAGAUGCCAGUACUUUCAAUCGAGGUGCAAGCCCAGCGCUAGGCUACGGUUAUGGUAGCUGGGUCCUGAGACAUAGCCCGGGGGUUAGGUCGAAACACAAACACACUAAAUCCAGCUUGCUGGUCGAGGUGGGGGAGGAACUGAGUAAAGGCAACUGUUGAGACAUUUGCUGAUCUUAGACUGCCACUACCACCCGAAGUCAGACACCAGUACUUUUGGAAAGCAUCCACUGAGUCCCUCCUGAGUGGGGGAGGGUUCCAUUGGAACUUUGGGUUACGCUGGUAUCCUGAGGAGUAAGAUGCAACCAUUCCUAUUUGGCAGAUUUGGGGUAGUACCUUUUGCAAUAUAUUUGUAUAGCUUUUUAAUAAGAAAAAAUUAAAUUAUAAACAUGUACAUUGUAAACUGCACCAGUAUACAUUGUAAUUGUAGUAAGAAUUAGUAGUAGUUAUCCUUUAGCACACAAGUUGAAUGAAUAUUAAGAAAAUCAUAUACAUGUACAUAUAUAUAGCUUUACAAUAGCAUCACAACAUGCGGCAAACAGUUGGGAAAGAAGCUGGUAGACUAUAGCAGUACCUUCUGGCAAGAAGAAAGUCCCCAAAAUAUCUCCUACCUCACGACCUCCACUGUGAAGAUUUGAACGUCUCAAGACGGUUUAAUGAAUCAUACAAAUGGACAAUUAUACACCCAGUCCUGCUCUUCAGCAAAAAUUGCAGCUAAGUUCAGUUUGAACUCCCUCCCCUAUCACAACUGAGAAAGACAACCCCCAAACCACAAAAGAAAAGGCCAUCCAAAGGCAGA